rnacentral:rRNA from 1 species
UACGGAGGAUCCAAGCGUUAUCCGGAAUCAUUGGGUUUAAAGGGUUCGUAGGCGGUUUAGUAAGUCAGUGGUGAAAGCCCAUCGCUCAACGGUGGAACGGCCAUUGAUACUGCUAAACUUGAAUUAUUAGGAAGUAACUGGAAUAUGUAGUGUAGCGGUGAAAUGCUUAGAGAUUACAUGGAAUACCUAUGGCGAAGGCAGGUUACUGGUAAUGGAUUGACGCUGAUGGACGAAAGCUUGGGUAGCGAACAGG